rnacentral:tRNA from 1 species
UCCAUGGUUUAGUCGGAAAAAUCUUUGACUUGGAUAGGUCGAGGGUUCAAACCCCACUGAAGGAUUUUAUUUUUUCUUUUAACUGAAAUUUAAUAGAAAUAAAUAAAUGGAGAUAAGCUCGAAAAGGUCAUAAAUUUCCUUUUUUACUUGGUUUGGUCGGAAAAAUCUUCAAUUUCAAUAAGUCGAGGGUUCGAACCCCACUGAAGAAU